rnacentral:rRNA from 1 species
AGUGAACGCUGGCGGUAGGCCUAACACAUGCAAGUCGAACGGCAGCACAGUAAGAGCUUGCUCUUACGGGUGGCGAGUGGCGGACGGGUGAGGAAUACAUCGGAAUCUACUUUUUCGUGGGGGAUAACGUAGGGAAACUUACGCUAAUACCGCAUACGACCUACGGGUGAAAGCAGGGGAUCUUCGGACCUUGCGCGAUUGAAUGAGCCGAUGUCGGAUUAGCUAGUUGGCGGGGUAAAGGCCCACCAAGGCGACGAUCCGUAGGUGGUCUGAGAGGAUGGAGAGCCACAUGGGGACUGAGACAGGGAUGAGAAACCUACGGAAGGCACCAGUGGGGAUUUUUGGAGAAUGGGCGAAAGUCUGAACAAGAUUUGCGGCGGAGGUGAAGAAGGCUUUCGGGUUCUAGAGCAUUUCUGUCGGGAAAAAAAUAGUUGGCCCUAAUACGGUCGGGGGAUGAAGUGACCGGAAGAAUAAGAACCGGCUGACCAGGGG